rnacentral:tRNA from 1 species
GUAGCUUAGUCAGGUAGAGCGACGGACUCUUAAUCCGUCGGUCGCGGGUUCGAACCCCGUC